AGGUCUUGGAAAUAACGAGGAGCCGAGAUGAAAGUCACUAAUUAAACUCGUAAACCUUUAAACCCAUAUUGCGAACCAUUCUGAGUCGCAUACAGUGUGUCGAAUGCAUUUAGAUUUAGAUAACUGCUCGCAUCUGCUCACAUUGUGAAGUUUGGAAAUGAUUUUUUAUUUUUUUUCAAUGAUUACAAAAGAAAGAAGAAGAAGGAAAAACAAAACAAAAAACAAACCCCAGAUGCGAUGGUACAGCCAGACCUGUCAAAGGUUGGUCUCAAAUUCCCAUAAUUCAUAUGGACUUGGUAAAGAGGAGAGGAAAAUACAUGCUCCUAUGUGUCUUGGAUUUCCUAGAUGUGUCGUUUUGUGUUGUUUUGUUAGAUCGAGUUCUCUGACUGUCUAAUCCGAACUUUAAAAAGGGACUGGAAGACUGUCGAUAUUUUUAAAACGGGAGAAUUACUGCUUGAUUUUUGUUACAGCAAGACACUACAGGUGAAUAAAAUAUUAGAGAUCGCGAUUAAUCUUCGCCAUUUGGUUGCUGAUAUUCUUUGUAUUGGAACUUACGGGGGAAGUACAUUUAUUUGUGCAAACAAGGCUUCGUCUAAAUAAAUAUAUCUAUCAAACAAUCUAGUUUUUUUGGUUUACGUUCGAGUUGAAAUGUUUUGUUUAUUUCACUGUGAAGACUUCCUCUCAAGAGAACGGAAAAUAUCAUUUCUUUAUCGUUUAACCAAGAGAACUGUUAUGCAAAAAAAAAAGAAGCUAUUUUUCAGUAUAAAAUCUAACGGAAAUCUAACAAUUAUCAUCAUCAAUAUUUUGAGGAGUUCAAAUAUAAAUAGGGAUCGAAAUGAAGAUGUAAAAAUUUCAUGAAUGCAGGUCAUCUAGAAAAUGAGAUUUUUGGCUUCUGUAUAUAGGGGGAAAUGAUUUUCAGAAAAAUAAUGUGUUUUGAAAAUGCACUGUGGUUUAAUGUGUUUCCCCUCUAGUUAGUGUGAUUUAUAAUGUUUAAAAAGGUCUCGCAUGUCACGUGAGUUGGCAAAACCAUUCAUUUAUUUAUUUAUUUUUUGUUGAGUUUUAAUAUUUGUAUGACUACAAUAGAAGGGAAAACCUCAAACGUAAUUGAUCCAAAAAUAUGAAAGACUGACUUGUCCAAAAUGGUCAUUUUUCCCUGUAGUGUCUUGCCUUAAUUAGAGGAUGUACAGCAUUUGUAUGCAAGUGGCCUAUGCCAUAGACGGGCUCUGAAUGUAUACUAACGGGAGGUUAUUUUUACAUAAACUCUAAUCUGUUUAAAAAAAAAACAAAAAAAAAAAAACAGAGUGUGUGACCAGCAUGUUCAGGUAUCAGAUGACACACAGGAUUGUGAAAUAAUUAUCAGAUGCUAGCAGAUGGGAGACAAUUUAAAAAAAAAAAAAAAAAAGAAGAGGGGGAAAAAAAAGGUUUGUUGUGUGAUGGCAGGUCUGAGGAUGAACAGCAGGAAGACAGGAUAAUGGGGGGAUGGAGGAGGAGAGGGAUGAGAAAGCCCUACUCUUCAUUCUGCUCCAUUGUGUCUGUUAGAGCACCUCACUUUGUGUAGACAAGUGUUCUCUAGUAAGCUGUGUGUGUGGUAGUGUGCGUGAUGCUGAAGCUUCCCUCAGCUCUAUUCAUAUGGAUGCUCUAUUCGCCCGUGUGUGUGUGUGUGUGUGUGUGUGUGUGUGUGUGUGUGUAUAUGUGUGUGUCCUCAACCGUACACUGUCGCCUCACCUGAAUCUAAUAUUCGCGUGUUAGUUAGUUUCCUCCUGUGUAUGCACUAAUAGAACAUAUCUGUACACACUCAUGGCCAAAUGUAUAUACUGAAUGUAAUAAACUGGGAUGUGGAGGCCUUGAGGUUCAAAGAAAUAAAGAGUUUAUGG
ensembl:lncRNA